rnacentral:rRNA from 1 species
UUGUUGGUGAGGUAAUGGCUCACCAAGGCGACGACGGGUAGCCGGCCUGAGAGGGCGACCGGCCACACUGGGACUGAGACACGGCCCAGACUCCUACGGGAGGCAGCAGUGGGGAAUAUUGCACAAUGGGCGAAAGCCUGAUGCAGCGACGCCGCGUGAGGGAUGACGGCCUUCGGGUUGUAAACCUCUUUCAGCAGGGAAGAAGCGAAAGUGACGGUACCUGCAGAAGAAGCGCCGGCUAACUACGUGCCAGCAGCCGCGGUAAUACGUAGGGCGCAAGCGUUGUCCGGAAUUAUUGGGCGUAAAGAGCUCGUAGGCGGCUUGUCACGUCGAUUGUGAAAGCUCGGGGCUUAACCCCGAGUCUGCAGUCGAUACGGGCUAGCUAGAGUGUGGUAGGGGAGAUCGGAAUUCCUGGUGUAGCGGUGAAAUGCGCAGAUAUCAGGAGGAACACCGGUGGCGAAGGCGGAUCUCUGGGCCAUUACUGACGCUGAGGAGCGAAAGCGUGGGGAGCGAACAGGAUUAGAUACCCUGGUAGUCCACGCCGUAAACGGUGGGAACUAGGUGUUGGCGACAUUCCACGUCGUCG